UACGUAGGGGGCGAGCGUUGUCCGGAGUUACUGGGCGUAAAGCGCACGCAGGCGGUCUGCUAAGUUUGGAGUGACAGUUGGUGGCUUAACUGCCAAAAGUGCUUCGAAAACUGACAGAACUUGAGGGCUUCAGAGGGACACGGAAUUCCGGGGUGGAGUGGUGAAAUGCGUAGAGAUCCGGAGGAACACCAAAGGCGAAGGCAGUGUCCUGGGGAGU
rnacentral:rRNA from 1 species